GCAAAUGAAAAUGCUUGCCCUCCCAAACAUGCCGUAACUUGGGUUCUACCACACAAAUUAUCGCCUAUUUUUUCCUUUACGAAGUUAUCAUUUCCAUCGGUUUUGUCUCCCCACCUCUACUGCUCCACAUCAAACAAUGUCCGAUAACUUCUCGCCCUUUCGUCGUCCACAUCAUUAGCUCUGUCGUUUCGUGGUUUCAAGCAAAUUUUGCUUCUUUCUCCCCUGCAACAGUUUUUUUGUUCAAUGUUCUUUCUCUCUCUGCGACUGAGAGAUUAUAUUAAGCCAUUGUGGGAGUGCCUUUGAGGAAAAGCUAAAAUGGCAGUGCCCGAGGGUUCUUUCGCGACUGCUUUCGUAGCUCUUGUUUUCACUAUGAUUGCGUUACCGGCUGCUGUUGAGGCCCAGCCCUUCCCCGCCGCUACCCUCACAAGUGACGGCUUGCUCUUUCUCGCACUCUCUCUCGCUAUUAGUCUCUCUUUCUUUCUACAUGUUUAAGAUGAAAACGCCAUUUGAUUUCAUUUGUUAAUAUUUGAGCUUUUGAUGAGGGUGGCAAAAGCCGAACAUGAGCGUCGGUUGACCAAUGGUUUGCAUACGCAUAUAUGCCGCCGGGGCCGGUGUUGACCUACAUUGUUCACCAUCUGCUGAUUUCUGCUUCAGCUUUCGCGAUUUUUUUUCCUCUUUUUCCUUAAAAGGUUUGUCAAAGUAAGAAGAAUUAUUGUUCAACCAUGGCUCGUUUCAUUGAGCUUUGAAUGGAUGUAGUUAGAGUUAGACGAAUUAAUGUGAGUUUUGCUCUUUUUGUAGAUUUUGAUCAUGUAUGUUUCGUGGUCUCUUUGUUUCUUUCUUUUUGUCUAUAAAGCAUUAAAUCUUCCAUUUCUGCCUCAGUUUCCAUCAUGUCUUUGGUGGGGGUUUUCUCGUUUGUCUCACCGAACUUGAGUGACGGUUAACGCGGUGAGUAUGAGGAGAGUCGUAGAAGAGAGUUUAUAUAUGUGUUUGGUUAGGGUAGAAAUGUAUAAGGAGAAGAAUCCCUUCUCUCCAAGCUUAGAUUUUGGUAUGUAUGUGGCGCAGGUCUCGUCAUGGUAGCCAAUCAAGAGGCAUAAUAGUAGUCUAGGUAGGAUAUGAUGGGACAAAAGCAGAUUAGAUAAGGGAGAACUGAAUAGCUACUCUUGACGAAGUAAAUUGAAAGAGCUCCAUGUGUCGUGC
rnacentral:lncRNA from 1 species